AGAGAUCAUGGCUCAGAUUGGACGCUGGCGGCAUGCCUUACACAUGCAAGUCGAACGGCAGCGCGGGGCAACCUGGCGGCGAGUGGCGAACGGGUGAGUAAUAUAUCGGAACGUACCCUGGAGUGGGGGAUAACGUAGCGAAAGUUACGUUAAUACCGCAUACGAUCUAAGGAUGAAAGUGGGGGAUCGCAAGACCUCAUGCUCCUGGAGCGGCCGAUAUCUGAUUAGCUAGUUGGUGGGGUAAAGGCCUACCAAGGCAUCGAUCAGUAGCUGGUCUGAGAGGACGACCAGCCACACUGGAACUGAGACACGGUCCAGACUCCUACGGGAGGCAGCAGUGGGGAAUUUUGGACAAUGGGCGAAAGCCUGAUCCAGCAAUGCCGCGUGAGUGAAGAAGGCCUUCGGGUUGUAAAGCUCUUUUGUCCGGGAAGAAACGGUGGGAGCUAAUAUCUCCUGCUAAUGACGGUACCUGAAGAAUAAACACCGGCUAACUACGUGCCUUCAGCCGUGGUAAUACGUAGGGCGCAAGCGUUAAUCGCAAUUACUGGGCGUAAAGCGUGCGCAGG
rnacentral:rRNA from 1 species